rnacentral:rRNA from 1 species
GGGCCCGCACAAGCGGAGGAACAUGUGGUUUAAUUCGAUGAUACGCGAGGAACCUUACCCGGGCUCGAACGGCUUUUGGAUAUACGGGAGACCGUAUAGUCAGCAAUGACAGGAGUCGAGGUGCUGCAUGGUUGUCGUCAGCUCGUGCCGUGAGGUGUCGGCUUAAGUGCCAUAACGAGCGCAACCCCUACUGCCAGUUACCAUCAGUUAAAGCUGGGGACUCUGGCGGGACUGCCACCGCAAGGUGCGAGGAAGGUGGGGAUGACGUCAAAUCAGCACGGCCCUUACGUCCGGGGCUACACACGUGUUACAAUGGGGGGUACAGAGGGCAGCGACCUGGUGACAGGGAGCCAAUCCAAAAAACCUCUCCCAGUUCGGAUCGAAGUCUGCAACCCGACUUCGUGAAGCUGGAUUCGCUAGUAAUCGCGCAUCAGCCAUGGCGCGGUGAAUACG